rnacentral:rRNA from 1 species
AUGAACGCUAGCUACAGGCUUAACACAUGCAAGUCGAGGGGAAACGACAUCGAAAGCUUGCUUUUGAUGGGCGUCGACCGGCGCACGGGUGAGUAACGCGUAUCCAACCUGCCCACCACUUGGGGAUAACCUUGCGAAAGUAAGACUAAUACCCAAUGAUAUCUCUAGAAGACAUCUGAAAGAGAUUAAAGAUUUAUCGGUGGUGGAUGGGGAUGCGUCUGAUUAGCUUGUUGGCGGGGUAACGGCCCACCAAGGCAACGAUCAGUAGGGGUUCUGAGAGGAAGGUCCCCCACAUUGGAACUGAGACACGGUCCAAACUCCUACGGGAGGCAGCAGUGAGGAAUAUUGGUCAAUGGACGAGAGUCUGAACCAGCCAAGUAGCGUGCAGGAAGACGGCCCUAUGGGUUGUAAACUGCUUUUAUAAGGGAAUAAAGUGAGAGUCGUGACUCUUUUUGCAUGUACCUUAUGAAUAAGGACCGGCUAAUUCCGUGCCAGCAGCCGCGGUAAUACGGAAGGUCCGGGCGUUAUCCGGAUUUAUUGGGUUUAAAGGGAGCGUAGGCCGGAGAUUAAGCGUGUUGUGAAAUGUAGAUGCUCAACAUCUGAACUGCAGCGCGAACUGGUUUCCUUGAGUACGCACAAAGUGGGCGGAAUUCGUGGUGUAGCGGUGAAAUGCUUAGAUAUCACGAAGAACUCCGAUUGCGAAGGCAGCUCACUGGAGCGCAACUGACGCUGAAGCUCGAAAGUGCGGGUAUCGAACAGGAUUAGAUACCCUGGUAGUCCGCACGGUAAACGAUGGAUGCCCGCUGUUGGUCUGAAUAGGUCAGCGGCCAAGCGAAAGCAUUAAGCAUCCCACCUGGGGAGUACGCCGGCAACGGUGAAACUCAAAGGAAUUGACGGGGGCCCGCACAAGCGGAGGAACAUGUGGUUUAAUUCGAUGAUACGCGAGGAACCUUACCUAGGCUAGAAUGUGAAGGAAUGUAUCAGAAAUGGUGCAGUCAGCAAUGACCUGAAACAAGGUGCUGCAUGGCUGUCGUCAGCUCGUGCCGUGAGGUGUCGGCUUAAGUGCCAUAACGAGCGCAACCCCUCUCCUUAGUUGCCAUCAGGUUAAGCUGGGCACUCUGGGGACACUGCCACCGUAAGGUGUGAGGAAGGUGGGGAUGACGUCAAAUCAGCACGGCCCUUACGUCCGGGGCUACACACGUGUUACAAUGGCAGGUACAGAGAGACGGUCCCUUGCAAAAUGGAUCAAAUCCUUAAAGCCUGUCUCAGUUCGGACUGGGGUCUGCAACCCGACCCCACGAAGCUGGAUUCGCUAGUAAUCGCGCAUCAGCCAUGGCGCGGUGAAUACGUUCCCGGGCCUUGUACACACCGCCCGUCAAGCCAUGAAAGCCGGGGGCGCCUAAAGUCCGUGACCGUAAGGAGCGGCCUAGGGCGAAACUGGUAAUUGAGGCU